CAAGUCCCAUCUAACUAAAGUUUAGCCAACAGGUUAGUAGUGAAGUCUGCGGGCAAAGCCAGAACGGGAGACCGGAAUGGAAGUCCGAAGCCAGAUGAAUCAAGGAUGCAGGCUCUGUAUUGAGCCCCGAAAAAUGUAUAGUUGUGGACAUUGGAUAAGCUUCCGAGAAAUCGGUAGCAAAAGCCGACGCUUUGUACUGAGCGGAAGGCAGCAGUCCUGAAUACGCUAUGGCAAGUAUUCAGGACACCACCGGGGUCUGAGACCA
rfam:Desulfuromonadales bacterium C00003093 3730_contig_117353.2, whole genome shotgun sequence.